CCGGACUUUAAUGAAGGACUGACCCAAAGAAGAGCAAAAGUUCACGAAAUACAAAUAAGGGUCGAAUAUUAAAAUACCCAGAAUCAAGUGGAAGUAAUGAAAGUUCCAAAAAUACGAUGGAAACUGCCGAUAAACAGAAAUAAUCCGACCGCAGCAGGAAAUUUAAAGGCCAGAUUAUGUAGCAACUACCUACUCAAACCACGUUCAAAAGGACAAAUUGAUUCUAUAGACUGACUCUGAUGAAGAGAAAAAACUUAGUGAUUAUUGGCAAUAAGAAGAUUGUUUAAAAGGAGAAUGCUUUAGAGAGGUGUACAUACAUAUGCUUUAACUUUUUUUAGUGCAUCACCCUGUAUAUAGUUAGCUUUAAUUCAGCUUUUUACCAUUUUUUUCGGGAAACGACUGAGGUGUUGCCUGAACGGGAAAUCCGCUUCAAUGCCAAGCUGGGACAUUCAACAAAUUAUUCUCAAAAUAAAGUAGAAAUGGAAAUGAAAAUUUCCUUAGUAAAGGCAAAAAUUAUGUAUCACCGCUCUAUGUAAUAUCGAACGAGUAUCCAACUGUACGGUUGUGUGGAGUCGAGUCAUUUCUACAGAAUCUAUUGCCUAGUUUAAAUCGUAGUCAGUGGGUCAGUGCCAACUAGUUCCAUACUAGAUCUAGGCAAAUACAAUUUUGAUCAUUAGUGCACAUUUGCGAACCGAAUUUUUCAAUUUGGUGACAGAAACCCGCACUGCAGUUAAAAAUGACUUCCCCAGCACUAAACAAUGGCAAUGGCCAAAAAGAGUCAUCCAACAAAGGAUCGAAUGCCACUCUUCCGCAAUCGCCUGCCAGAAGUGCAAAUGAAGCAUCCGGCUCCAGUUCUUCCACUUCUGCACUAGUGGCGCCUUGGAGAGUCUUCAAAAUGGUAAACUUGCUGAUGAAGCAACAUUGUUAAAAUACAAAGGCCGAGAUGACUUGAACCGCCCGAAUCCAGGUUUAAUUUUAGUCGCGAAAAUAGCAUAUCAAUUUUUUCAAAUUUAACAAAUCGUUCUGCAAUACAUUCAUCCCAUCCCAUCAAUCGAUCAAGCGCUUUAUAGAAUAUUCAGAAGCAACCGCACUCUAGAGUUACCCUAAUCAGUUUUCCCUGAUACGAGCAAUUUAAUAGUUCCGCCAAAAAAACUAGUGUUUUCCAUAUAUCAGGUUUUUUAUGCUUGAAGUUCUAGAAACUUAAGAUAUUUACUGUUAGAGAUACUAAGUUUCCAUAGAAAUAGAUAGAUAUAGGUACAAAGUAUAUUGGUAGAGAUUUAAGCAUAUUUUCUAGUUCGCGAAAUUAUUAAAGUUGUUAAAUUUUCCUAGACUAUACGCACUUAUAUCUAUUACCUAUACACAUAUGACAAUAUUAUUAUUAAGUAAAUCGUUGGUUUGUUGUUUAUAAAUACAAUACAAGAUGUUAGUGUGGAUCUAGUCCAUAAAGUUACACUAUUGUAGAAUUUGGAGAAUAUUUUUUAUCCCGCGAAUUGUUUUGUGAAGUCUUUCAUAAAAAAUUGGCCACAUAUUAUUCUGCACAGUAACCGAGUUAAUUAUUUCUGUAUUACUGUUGCGCUACAGUGAGUUUAGUUAAGAAUAAUUGAUAUAAUGGCCAAUAAUCAGCAAUUUAUUACAUUUAUAACUGUAACAUUUCGGUUGACCGUUAAAGGUAAUAUGCUGAACUGAGAUAAAUUAUUCUUGCAUAUUUUUAUAAACAUAUUUUGCUAAUGUGCCGGAUGAAGUAAACAAUUAAAUUCGACAACUUCAAUACCUGUAAAUUGUUAAAUAAAUUAUCUGUUACACCGUUGAAAGUCUUUUAGAUUUAUUAAUUUAGUUUCUAAGAUGAAUUCAACAUAUUUAACCGAUAGUGUUCUAAACGUUAUUAAAUUGAGCAUUCAAUUAA